rnacentral:rRNA from 1 species
UACGGAGGGGGCUAGCGUUGUUCGGAAUUACUGGGCGUAAAGCGCACGUAGGCGGCUUUGUAAGUUAGAGGUGAAAGCCCGGAGCUCAACUCCGGAAUUGCCUUUAAGACUGCAUCGCUCGAAUCAUGGAGAGGUGAGUGGAAUUCCGAGUGUAGAGGUGAAAAUUCGUAGAUAUUCGGAAGAACACCAGUGGCGAAGGCGACUCACUGGACAUGUAUUGACGCUGAGGUGCGAAAGCGUGGGGAGCAAACAGG